rnacentral:rRNA from 1 species
CCUACGGGUGGCAGCAGUGAGGAAUAUUGGUCAAUGGGCGGAAGCCUGAACCAGCCAAGUAGCGUGCAGGAUGACGGCCCUACGGGUUGUACACUGCUUUUAUACGGGAAUAACGCGCCUUACGUGUAGGGCUUUGCAUGUAACGUAUGAAUAAGGACCGGCUAAUCCCGUGCCAGCAGCCGCGGUAAUACGGAAGGUCCGGGCGUUAUCCGGAUUUAUUGGGGUUAAAGGGAGCUUAGGCCGCAUGUCAAGCGUGUUGUGAAAUGUCCGGGCUCAACCCGGGCCUUGCAGCGCGACAUGGCGUGCUUGAGUCCGCGGAAAGCAGGCGGAAUUCGUCGUGUAGCGGUGAAAUGCUUAGAUAUGACGAAGAACCCCGAUUGCGAAGGCAGCUUGCUGCAGCGGAACUGACGCUGAUGCUCGAAAGCGCGGGUAUCGAACAGGAUUAGAUACCCUGGUAGUC